UCAAGCUAAAAAGAGCGCAGGGUGGAUGCCUUGGCACUAAGAGCCGAAGAAAGACGUGAUAAGCUGCGAAAAGCUGCGGGGAGAUGCAAAUAAUCCUUGAUCCGCAGAUGUCUGAAUGGGGAAACCCGGUACGAAGAACUCGUAUCAUCCAUACGCCAAUCCAUAACGUAUGGAGGGGAACCCGGUGAACUGAAACAUCUAAGUAGCCGGAGGAAGAGAAAGAAACAUCGAUUUUGUUAGUAGCGGCGAGCGAAAGCGAAAGAGGCCAAACCGGAGUGCGUGCACUCCGGGGUUCGGACCGCAUUUAAGAUUCAGUGAUUCUAGCAGAAAGGUUUGGGAAAGCCUGCCGGAGAGGGUGAAAGCCCCGUAAGCGAAAGGAGAACUGACUGAGCGGAAUCCAGAGUACAUCGAGACACGAGAAACCUUGAUGGAAUGAGCGGGGACCACCCCGUAAGCCUAAAUACUACUUAGUGACCGAUAGCGCAUAGUACUGUGAAGGAAAGGUGAAAAGGACCCCGGGAGGGGAGUGAAAGAGAACCUGAAACCCUGUGUUUACAAGCUGUCGAAGCACGAAAGUGCGACGGCGUACUUUUUGUAGAACGGUCCGGCGAGUUAUGAUGAGUGGUAAGGUUAAGGACUUAAGGUCCGGAGCCGAAGCGAAAGCGAGUGUUAAAAGCACGUUUGAAUCGCUUAUCAUAGACCCGAAACCGGGUGAUCUAUCCAUGUCCAGGUUGAAGCUGCCGUAAGAGGUAGUGGAGGACCGAACACACAUCCGUUGAAAAGGGUGGUGAUGAGGUGUGGAUAGGGGAGAAAUUCCAAUCGAACCCGGAGAUAGCUGGUUCUCCUCGAAAUAGCUUUAGGGCUAGCCUCGUGUUAGUCUGGUGGAGGUAGAGCACUGAAUUUCCUAGGGGGCGUCAAAGCCUACCGAAGAAUAUCAAACUGCGAAUGGCGGACAGAUGAUGCCAGGGAGUCAGACUGCACGAGAUAAGUUGGGUGGUCAAAAGGGAAAGAGCCCAGACCUACAGCUAAGGUCCCAAAGUGUGUGUUAAGUGGAAAAGGAUGUGGGAUUUCGAAGACAACUAGGAUGUUGGCUCAGAAGCAGCCAUACAUUCAAAGAGUGCGUAAUAGCUCACUAGUCGAGAGGUCCUGCGCCGAAAAUGUCCGGGGCUGAAACACGACACCGAAGCUUAGGAAUGUAGUAAUACAUUGGUAGAGGAGCAUUGUUAGCGCAGCGAAGCUGUACCGAUAAGGAGCAGUGGAGUGCUAAGAAGAGAGAAUGCCGGAAUGAGUAGCGAGAGGAAGGUGAGAAUCCUUCCGGCCGAAUAUCUAAGGUUUCCAGAGUAAAGCUGAUCUGCUCUGGGUAAGUCGGGGCCUAAGGCGAGGUCGAAAGACGUAGUCGAUGGAUAACAGGUGGAGAUUCCUGUACUAUGUGUACCCAGAACUGUGGGGACGCAUGUGGAGAGCAUGAGCCGGGAAAGAGAAGACCGGUACAAGCGGGGUAGGAGUAAGGACAGCAAAUCUUCCUUACAAUCCGAAGACGUAAUGUGGACCGAACCAAAGUAGGGAAGCGUGUGAGCCAUGUGCCAAGAAAAGCCGCUAUUGUGAUACACAUACCCGUACCGUAAACCGACACAGGUGGAUGAGGAGAGAAUCCUAAGGCCGACGGAAGAAGCAUUGUUAAGGAACUCGGCAAAAUGACCCCGUAACUUCGGGAGAAGGGGUGCCCUGUGAAAGCAGGGCCGCAGAGAAUAGGCUCAAGCAACUGUUUAGCAAAAACACAGGUCUAUGCGAAACCGAAAGGUGAGGUAUAUGGGCUGACGCCUGCCCGGUGCUGGAAGGUUAAGAGGAGAGGUUAGCGCAAGCGAAGCUUUGAAUUUAAGCCCCAGUAAACGGCGGCCGUAACUAUAACGGUCCUAAGGUAGCGAAAUUCCUUGUC
rnacentral:rRNA from 1 species